CCCGGGACCACUGUUCUUAAGGCGUCGCCUAGGCGACCCGGUGGUGGUCCAACGCCUAGGUGCCUUGCCCGCCUACCUCACGUAGGCGUCGCCUAGGCAUCCAGGCGGUGGUACAAUGCCCUGUCUUGCCAUACUGCUUUAAAAACCAUACCUGGGACUUAGAGGUGCUACUCGGAAGACUUUAACCACUAGGCUAAAGCCUUUAACCGCUUUAAAAGAACUUUAUACCAUUAUUUUUUAAUAAGAAAAAUAGAAAAAGAGUCCAAACAACAAAGACCGCUAGGUUAUAAUUAUCUUCAAUGCUAUUCAUAAUAACCUACGCAAUUGCCAUCAACUUGCUCAAUUUGAACAAUAACAGUCGUACUGUCAAAAUUUUUAGUUGCAUAUAGAUUGUUGGAAGAAUUUUUUAUUUCUGUGAUUUUUCAGUCUUUAAUUAACCCCUUUGACUUUCUUCAAGCAUUCUGCUUUUGUUUCUUGACCAACAUAUGAUGUGAUCUUAGUUGAUGAAAUAAGAUUGUGCCAAAUUAGAAAAGCAAAUGUUCAGGAUUUUUUUAUAUUUUACGAAUAACUGAAACUAUUUUCUGUUAAUUAGCUGAUUUAAUUGCCCCCUGUUUUAGUAGUUUUCUUUUUUCGAUAAAGGAAAUUUAUUUCAUCAGAAAUGAAACAUAGUCCUGGCCUCUUCAAAGUUUAUAUUUGGCCUGAUGGUAUGAAAAACCUUAACUAUCCUUCAUCUAAACAUGAUAAAGGAUAGAAAACACACAAGAGUUCAACAAUAGAAAAAACAACAAUUGACUAAACUUCUAAUCUAUUGCUAAAUCGCCAUUCAUUUCGAGCGAAGAUGUCCAUCGUAAUUAUCUCUAGCUGCAGUGAAGCAUCCUUUAGCAACAAUUGGUUCUUCUUCUGCAGUAGGCUCCAGUACUAAAUCCAAUAAGUGCUCUUGUAAAUCACGUGCAUUGGUGACAUAACAAUUGCAUUGUUAAAAAUAACACCAUUUUGACUUGUCCAUAUUGCCCACAACAUGGUUGCAACUCCUACCAUGUCAAGGACGUCGGGACCUAGGGUAGCCGACCCUUGACUACGUAGUUCGUAGCCAUGGUCCGUCGUCGCCGAUGAGGUUUUGCCCUUCUGCCGUCGGCUUGUUGGAGAAGAGAGAGGUGGGAGAUUAGGAUAAUGAUCUUGCUUAACUUCUCAAGCUCUGGUUACAGGAGGAAUAUAUGGCCAAGUGCCUUAACCAAUCUCUCCUAGACUUAAGGAAUAAGGAUAGAAAAUAAUCUCUCUUUCCAACCAAUCUCUCCUAGACUUAAGGACUAAGAAUAGAAACUAAUCUCUCUUUCCAAACUUAUCCACUCGCGGUGGCCUCCUCCUCCUGCCCGCGCAGCGCGUUCUGUGGCACAACGCACGUCACGACAACACCUAUAUGUGCGCCCCCGCAUGACAUAUCUCCCCCCUCGAGACCUAGCUCGUCCUCGAGCUAAAAGUCAGGGUACUUGAUGCGGAACUCGUCGAGGUCCUCCUAGGAAGCAGACUCCGCCGGCUCGCCGCGCCAGUGGACAAGUACCUGACGAACCCCACGUGCCAACCGAGUUUGCUCAACACGUAGCGGCUCUGGAAUAACCGCUCCAUUGUGGAGGGCCAGCAGGGCUGGAGGCGAGGCAAGAGGUGCGUCGUUGAACUUCUUGAGCACGCCAACAUGGAACACAUCAUGGAGUCAGGCCCCCAAGGGUAGUUCUAGGCAAACAGCGUCAUCAUUGAUGAUCUCAAUGACGCGGUAGGGUCCCACAAAUAGGGGCUUCAGCUUCCCCGUGGUCCUCCUAGGUAGGGACGCCUGUGCCUGCUCCAGGCGGUAGCGUAUAUCAGCCAAGAAGGCCUCGCGAGCCUCCAUGUCCUGGGCGACGAUGGCCACCCGUGUCUCUUCUGGCUCAUAAGAGCGGAUGGAAGGAGGGUCACGACCAUAUACCACCCGGAACGACGUGUCCCGGAGUGAGGUCUGGUACGCGGUGUUGUAGGUGUACUCGGUCCACGACAACCAGCGCAACCACUAGCGGGGACGAUCUCCAGUGAAGCAGCAUAGGUACAUCACGAUGACCCGGUUGGCAGCCUCUGUCUGACCGUCUGACUGUGGAUGGAAAGCUGAUGUCAUGUGCAACCUAAUGCCCAUAAGCCGCAUGAGCUCGCGCCAGCACGUCGAAGUGAACACCAGGUCGUGGUCGGAGACGAUGCACUGUGGAACGCCAUGGAGGCGAACAAUGUCAGCGAAGAAGGCCCACGCCACCGACUCAGCCGUGUAUGGAUGCGCGAGGGGAACGAAGUGGCAGUACUUGCUGAACUGGUCGACGACGGAGAGAAUGACCGUAUUCCCGUUCAUCCUGGGUAGCGCUUCCACGAAGUUGAGACCGAUGUUGGCCCAAACCACCGACGGCACGGGUAGCGACAUCAGCAACCCCGUUGGGUGUAGAUGCUUCGACUUGUACCGCUGAUAAGUGGGGCAUGACUGCAUGAAUUCUUGCACCAAACGACACAUGUUGGGAAAAUGAAAGUCGCGGUGGAGGCGGUGAAGCGUGCGAUGGACGCCCUCGUGCCCAUCCACAUGGAUGGCCUCCAUGAUCUCCUACAGCAGCGGUGAGGUGGGUGGGAUGUAGAGACGCCCCCCGUAGGCGACCAUGUCGUCGACCACUGUCCAAGGCGCGAUGCGUGUACCCGCGCGGACCUCGUCAUGGAUGGCCACCAGUGCCGGAUCAUUGGCCUGCGCGUGACGAAGGCGGUCGAUGAAUUCGAAGCGAGGCGUCGAAAUGGCCAGUAAGGCGACCUCCUCCGUGUCACGGCAGGAGAGGGUGUCUGCCAUGGUGUUGGUGGACCCUGACUUGUAUUCGACGGUGAAGUCGAAGCCCAACAACUUACCGACUCAAUGGUGUUGCGGGAUUGUGGCAAGUCAUUGGUCGAGCAGGUACUUCAGGCUGUAGUGGUCCGUCAUGACGGUGAAGCGUCGCCUCCAUAGGUACAGCCGCCAAUGCCGUACAGCCUGGACGAGGCCGAUGAGCUCCCGCUCAUGCGGCAAGCGAGCGAUGACGUAGCACCACCGACUUGCUGAAGAACGGGACGGGAUGGCCAUUCUGGACCUGCACCGCACCAAAGCCAUAGGUAGACAUGUCGCACUUGACAACGAAUGGCUUGGCGAAGUCUAGCAGUGCCAGUACUGGGGCUGACGUCAUCGCCCCUUUGAGGGCACUGAAAGUUGCUGCUGGUUGUCGUUCUAGGUGAAGCCCUCCUUCAAAAGUGUUGUGAGAGGAACAACGAUGGUGUCGUAGUUGUGGACGAACUUCCUGUAGUACCCUGCCAGGACGAGGAAGCCACGCAUCGCCCGCAUCGAGCACGAUUGAGGCCAGUCGUGGAUGUCCUGGACUUUGUCCCGAUCCGUGGCCACACUGGCCGAGGAUAUGGUGUGGUCGAGGUAGGCGACAUCGUCCACGCCGAAGGAGCACUUGGAUCGCUUGACGAAGAGACGAUGCUGGCGGAGCACCGCGAGGACGACGCGAAGAUGAUGCAGGUGGUCCGCCUAGGAUGUGCUGUAUUUCAAAAUAUCGUCAAAAAAGACAAGCGCAAACUGGCGGAGGUAGGCGCGCAACACAUCGUUCAUGAGCGACUGGAACGUGGCAGGGGCGUUGCAUAGCCCGAACGACAUGACCAAGAACUCGAAGAAGGUGUCAUGCGUCCGGAACGCGGUCUUGUCGAUGUCCAGACCUGAUGGUAAUCGGAUCGGAGGUCGAGCUUGGUGAAGAAUUGGGCGCCAUGGAGUUCAUCUAGGAGCUCGUCGACGACCGGAAUGGGGAAGGCAUCCUUGAUGGUGAUGGCGUUCAGCGCACGGUAAUCGAUGCAGAACCGCCAAGAGCCGUCCACCUAUCUGACGAGGAGGAUCGGGGAUGAGAACGCCGAGCUGCUGCGCUGAAUAAUCCCCUGGUCCAGCAUGGACGCACAUUGAUGCUCCAAUUCAUCCUUGUGCAAAGCGGGGUAUCAGUAUGGUCGGAUUGCCACCGGUGGCACCCCCGGCACCAAGGUGAUGAUGUGGUCACGGCUGCGCGAUGGGGGCAGGCCGUGCAGCUCGCUGAAGAUGUCGUCGAAAUCCACCAAGAGCUCCUCGAGGAGCGAGCUGCUAGCCGUGGUCGUGCUCAUAGCCAGCGCACGAGGGCUCGCCAGCCCCUGCCAGCAGAAAGCACGACCUUGGUAUGUGAAGGAGACCACGCGGUUGCUGAAAUCCCACACGAUCGGGUCGAGCACGGCGAGCCACCGAGUGCCAGUACGACAUUGUAUCCCGCCAAGGGCAUGACAUAGAGAUCAGUGGGGAACGAGGCGCCACCGAUGGUUAGCGGACCGUCACGGAUGACACCGACGCACGCGACGCUUUCGCCGUUGGUGACCACAGCCAUGAGGCGCGGUUGGUGCUGUAGAGGCAGUCCAGUCCGAAGGUCAGCGGCCUCCGAGAUCAAGUUGUGGGUGCUACCGGAGUCUAGCAGGGCGACGAGGGAUGCAGAUUCGAGCCCGACCUCUAGUUGCAUCGUGUCGGUGAAGGCGACCCUGGCUAGGGCUUGGAGGGAGAACACAUGCGCGUCCUCAAGUACCACGUCCUCGACAGUCUUUGUGGCUGCCCUGUCUUCCUCCUCAAAACCCUCGAGGAGAAACAACUGCUUGCGCACACGGUUGUGGCCCCUGGUGAAUUUUUCAUUGCAAUUGUUACAAAGCCCGAGAUGACGACGUCCUUCUUGUUUCGCCUGGGUGAGGCGUUUGAUGGGGUCGCCCUCGAUGGUGAUUGUCCAGGGAGUAGGCGCUUUGGCACCCAACGGCGCGGGUAGAGCCAGGUGGCCAGCCGAAGUCGGCAGCAGAGGGCGGGAUGGUGGUCUGACGGCCGGGGCGGUGUACUGCUCCUGUAGUUCGAACUGGCGAGCCAAGCUCAUGGCGGUGGCCAGGGACUGAGGGUUUUGGUUCCAGACGUCGAUGCUGAGCGGCGGUUGAAGACCACUUGUGAACAACUAGACCUUCUGCGCCUCUUAAAGGAGACCAGGACGAGGGAGGAGCGCCUGGAAAUAAUCUUGAUACUCGGUGACCGUGCCCGUCCGCCGACUUUUAGCCAAUUCGGCUAGCGGGGCAGAGCGCAGUGGUGGCCCAUAACGCAUGCUCAACAGCUCCUUGAAGUGGCGCCAGGACGGGGUGCCUUCGUCCGUCUGGACCAUGAAAUGCCACAUCUGCGCGCCCUCCAAGUUGUAGGAGGCCAUCCAAACCUUCUCCAUGAUCCGUUGCUGAUGGAAAUACGACUCACAGCGAUUGAUGAAGAUCAGCAGAUCGGUUUUCCCGUCAUAGCGAGGAAAAUCCAUCUUCUGGAACCUUGGUGGCCGAUCAUGGUGGUGCUGCCCAUCGUGCCCCCCCAUGUCGCUCGAUGAGGAGGCAGACUUCUUCUGGAGCUCGGCCGCAGUCGUCUUCAGGGACGCCACAAUCGUGGUCAGAGUCUCGAUCAUCUUGGCAAGAUCGGCGAUGGUCGGUUCAGACAUGGCUAAAGGGAUCAAUGUAGCGACCGAUGGUAGCGAGUGGGGUGGGUUGGGUGGUGGCGCAGCGGUGGGGGAUGUUGCGGCGGCGGAGCGAAUGAAGACGAGGAACGCCGGGUAGCCGAUACCAGGUUGUCAAGGACGUCGGGACCUAGGGUAGCCGGCCCUUGACUACGUAGUUCGUAGCCACGGUCCGUCGUUGCCGGCGAGGUUUUGCCCCUCUGCCGUCGGCUUGUUGGAGAAGAGAGACGAGAUAUUAGGAUAAUGAUCUUGCUUAACUUCUCAAUCUCUGGUUGCAGAAAUAUAUGGCCAAGGGCCUUAACCAAUCUCUCCUAGACUUAAGGAAUAAGGAUAGAAAAUAAUCUCUCUUUCCAACCAAUCUCUCCUAGACUUUAGGAAUAAGAAUAGAAACUAAUCUCUAUUUCCAAACUUACCCACUCGCGGUGGCCUCCUCGCGUGCGCGCAGCGCAUUCUGUGGCGCUGCGCAUGUCACGGUGGCGCCUGUACAUACGCCCCCACAUGACAUACCAUAAAUUGUUUAUUAGUAUCUAGUUUCACUCCAUCCAACCAAUGCCAAAAAAUGUGAUACAUUUUGUGGAGCCUUGAUACCAGAUACUAUCAAAACAAUUUGCCAAAUAAAUCUAGCAAAGUCACACUGUAAGAACAAAUGAUCUAUAGUUUCAUUGCAGUUACAAAAACAACAUUUCAAACUCCCCUUCCAUCUACGUCUUGCUAGAUUGCCUUUUUGUAAGAACUACACCCAUUGUUUAAAAGGCGUCGCCUAGGCGACGCCUAGGCGUCGAGGCGACAAUUUUGGCUAGGCGUCCGCGCCGCCCAGGUGCCAUUGAGUAUGGCGUCCGCCUAGGCGCGGUAGGCGUCGCGGCGACGCCUUUCUCCCUCUGGGCGACGCCUUAGACUAGGGUUUGUAGUGGGCUAGGGUUUGCACUGGGCCUUAGGCGCGUUUUGGGCUUUCACUGUGCGCGCGAUCUCUCCGCUGCGGAAAUUUCAGCGCCGCGCCCUGCGUGGGCAAAUCUCCCUGCGCGGCAAAUCUCCCUGCGCGCACGGCAAAUCUCCCUGUGCUCUCUCUCUCCCUGCGCACGCUCUCCCUCUCCCUGCGCGCGCUCGCGGCUGCUGCUCUGGGUGCGCGGCUACUCUCCCCUGCACGCGCGCUCCCUGCGUGCGGCUGCUGCUGGGCGCGUGCUCUCCCUGCGCGCGGCUCCCUGCGUGCGGCUGCUGCUGGGCACGGCUGCUGCUCCCUGGCCGCGCACGCUCGCUGCCUGCUGUGCUAGCUGCUGCCUGCUACUGCUGGUAAUUCUCAUCCCCUGUUUUCUCAUCCCCUCCUCCCCUGCUUCCCUGUUUUCUCAUCCCCUGCAUCCCCUGUUUUCAGACUGUGCAGCGACUAGCGACAAGCCGACAACAUAAUGUCUUCUCGAAAUGAAGCUCCAUCUUCUGUGGCUGGUGAGUACGACCCGAAGAGCGAUCCUACCCGGAAGCCACGGAAGUCUACUGAUCCAGGGUGGAAGUAUGGAUUUUGGCCAGAUCUUCAAAAUAAAGAUAAGGUGGAAUGCACCCUAUGUGGCCAGGUUGUUAGUGGAGGGAUAAAGAGGUUAAAGCAACAUUUGGCAGGGGCAUAUGGAGAUGCAAAGUUAUGUCCCAAGGCUACCAGUGGAAUAAGGAAGGAGAUGACAAGUUAUUUGGAGGCAAACAAGAGAAAAAGACCAAUGUUUCUAGAUGAAGAUGAAGAAGAUGAUGAAGUGGUGGAGGUGGCAGCAGCAGAUGGGGCGAAUGAUACAUCUGAUGUGGAGUCUCAAGCAUCCAAGGUGCAGCCUAGUUCUGGUACAGCAGCCAAAAAAAGACAAUCGACCUUGCAAUUUUAGGCAAACAGUAAAGCACAGCCAAAGACAGCCAAGUCCGUAGUUGGGAUGUUGCGGAAAACACCAGAGGAGGUGGUGGAUGAGAGACUUUCAGGCUCUUAUCAGCCCACAAUCUUGGCUAGUGCAAAAAGCAAGGAGGACAAACACUAUGUGGACAUGCAGUGGGCUUUGUUCUUCUAUGAGUGCGGUGUACCUUUCAAUGCCGCAGCAGCUAGGCAGUUUCAGAUUGCAAUUGAGGCCACAACACAGUUUGGUUCAGGGUAUAAGCCUCCAACACCUUACCAACUAGGCGAGCCAUUGCUACAAGAGGCUGUGAAGACAACAAAUACAAUGAGGGAGGAACAUGAGCGUGCAUGGAAACACUAUGGUUGCACACUCAUGUCUGAUGGAUGGUCUGAUAGGAGGGGACGCCAUCUCAUUAACUUCUUAGUGAACAGCCCAGAGGGCACUUAUUUUUUAGAGUCCGUUGAUGCAUCUAAGAAGUACAUGAUGCAUACAUGCUUGCUGAUUUGCUUGAGAAAAAAGUUGAUGAGAUUGGGAGAGACAAGGGUUGUACAAGUUGUUACUGAUAAUGGUGCCAAUUACAAAGCUGCAGGCAAGCUUCUAAUGGAGAGGAUUCCUACUUUAUUUUGGAGUCCAUGUGCUGCACAUUGCUUGGACCUAAUGUUGGAGGACAUAGGAAACUUGAAGGAAUUCAAGAAACCAAUUGCACGUGCAAGGCGUGUGACAACUUUCAUAUACCGACACGGGAGAAUUCUUGCUGCCAUGAGAGAGAAAACUGGUGGGGCUGAUCUUGUGAGGCCUGCAGCCACUCGUUUUGCUACUUCCUUUCUCACAUUGAAGAGCUUGUACAAGCACAAGGAUGCUUUGAAGGCUUUAUUUGCAAGCACAGCUUGGACUGAUAACAGAUUGUCAAAGACCAGUGCUGGAUUGGAUGUGUAUAACAUUGUCUUCUCCACACAGUUUUGGAAUUCAGUAGAAGAUUGCCUUAGAGCUUCAGGGCCACUACUUAUUGUACUUAGGGUGGUAGAUGGAGAUGAGAGGCCAGCUAUGCCAGAGGUCCAAGCAUUGAUGAAAUGUGCAAAGGAAAAGAUCAAUCAAAGCUUUGCUGUCCAAAGCAAGAAGACUUUACUCAAGAAAAUCAUAACUAUAAUUCAACGGCGUUGGGAGAAACAAAUGGAUCACCCAUUGUAUGGGGCUGCAAUGUAUUUGAACCCAGGAAAGUUGCAUCCUCUCAUAAGAAAUGAUGAUGAUGCUACUGUUGGUCAGCUAAGAGGUUGCUUUCUUGAUGUGCUUGCAAGAAUGGUAGAUGAUGAGGAAACUAGAGACAAGAUCAAUUCUCAAGCAAUGGAUUACGAGUUUCUUAGAGGAGCAGCUUUUUCAAAUAAGAUGACCAAAGAUAACCUACAAACUAUGACCCCACUUGAGUGGUGGCGUUCGUAUGGUGGUCGUGCUAUUGAGUUACAGAGAUUUGCUAGACGUUUGGUGAGUCUUUGUGCGUCUUCAUCAGGUUGUGAACGCAAUUGGAGUACCUUUGAAUUUAUCCAUAUAAAGAAAAGAAACCGAUUGUUACAUAAGAGGUUGAAUUCUAUUGUCUUCAUUUCCUACAACAGAAAGAUGAAAGCUAGGUUCCAAAAACUAUGCCAGAAGAAGGGGAAAAACUUUGAUCCAUUGGUUCAUGAGGACUUCAACUGGGACAAUGAGUGGGCUGAUUCUUUGCAUGUAGUCCCUGAAGGUGGGCGUGGGUGUGAGUGUGACCUUACAUGGGACCUUGUGGAUAAUGCCAUUGGAGCAUCGCAAGCACUUCGUGGCCGAAACUUACCAAGAAGGGCCCAUAAUGUGUAUUCAAGAAGAAAUUCUGUUGCUGCACAAAACAUGUCAGAGGCUGAAGAGGAAGAUGAAGAUGAAGAUGUUCGACAUGACGAUGCAGAAAUCACAGAUUGUGAAGAUGAAUCUAAUGGUGGCAAUGAUGGUGAAGAAGGGGAGGCACCCAAUAUCCCAGGAGAGUUUGAUGAUGAUUUUUGAGCGACGGGAGACGGGGAGAGUAGCUAUUGCUAGAUUGCAUUAGCAUAUUUGCUGCAUUACUAACUGCAGAUAGUUACUAUUAAUUAUGCCAUUACAAACUAUCUAUGUGGCUAUUUCAGAUUUGGACAUUUGGUAUUGUGUUGUUUUAAAUUUUGUGACUUGCUAUUGUUCCUUUAGAAACUACUUUGUGGCUAUUUCAUAUCCAUUAUUAUGCUAUUGUGAAUUUGUGAUGAUUUCUAGUUUAUGAGCUGUAACAGCUGUUUGGUUGCUUGGUAUUUUGUAACAGCUGUUUGUAACAGCUGUUUGUAACAGCUACUAAGGCGUCGCCUAGGCGCCCGCCUAAGUCGCCUAGGCGGUCAGGCGGUGGCUGGGCGCCUAGUUCCGCCUAGCCGCCUUUUAAACCAUGACUACACCCUUAUACACAUACAACAAGAAAAUUCUUAUCUUUAGUGGGAUUUUGAUUUUCCAACAAUGCUUAAGCAUAGGAAUAACUUUGUGGUUUGAAAGGUGAUUACAUAGACUGUACUGAAAAAAUGCCCCCUUUUGUAGGUAACCGAACGAACAUGUCUUGCCUUCAUUGAGCUGAAUAGUAGUUUUCUUGAUCGAAAUUUAUAUCAAAAGGUUUUUCUUAAUUUGGCAGGUUAUAUUGGACACCGAGAAACAAAAAGCUACUGUUGAGCGAGAAGUUGAUGGUGGAAUUGAAACCAUAUGCCUUGAUUUGCCAGCAGUGAUCACCACGGAUUUGAGACUUAACCAGCCAAGGUAUGCAACUUUGCCGAACAUAAUGAAGGCAAAGUCCAAAGUUAUUAAGAAAGUUGUCCCUAAAGACCUCGGUGUAGACAUUAGAUCAGACAUGGAGGUUAUUGAGGUCAACGAACCACCAAAACGGAAGGCAGGGGUGAUUCUUUCGUCUGUCGACGAGCUCAUUGACAGGUUGAAAAAUGAAGCACGUGUCUUGUAACAAUUUGUAUAUUAUUCCGACUGAAUAUGGUCUGACGUUCAUUUAUGUAAGUUAUAAUAAAAGCGUUCUCCAAAUGUUCAGACCAUAUUUACAAAUAAGAGAAGUGUUUCUACAAACCAGUCAAGAUGCUAUUCCAGAAACAUUUACCUGCUGAAUUAGCUCCA